UUUUUUUAGCUUAGUUUUUAUUAAAAAAUAAACAAAAAAAUAAAUAAAAAUAAAAUACCUAUUGGGCCAAAGCCUACACCAAAGUAAACCAUAUAUUGGGCUCAAAGCCCAAACAAGAUAAAGCUAUUUGCUAGGCUUAAAGCCCAAAUACCAACUAGGGUAGGCCUAUUCAAAGCCUAAAAGGCCUAAUAAACAUCUGAAAAGUCCAAUGAUCUUAACAAAAUUGAAAUCGAGAAAUCAUAUACAAGCUCUGGAUGUAAUGGAGUGUCUACAUAUAUAUUGCUUUCAAUACAUUUAAAUGAUAAGAGAAUUAAGUAAAAAUGUUUUAAUACCAUUAUUUACAUUUAUUAAAAUCAAUGGUUUUAAGAAGUGUAUAAAAUUUUUUAGUUUUGUACUAUGAAAGUUAAUCCCGUUCUCUCUCUUUUUCUAUAUAUAUAUAUAUCAUAACGUUUAGAUCUGUGGACCUAUCACUGAACAUUGACGUGAGGAGUCGCCACCAAUCUUUUUUGUUUAGGAGUGAUUGGCCACCAAUAUUUUUUUGUUUAGGCGCUUUAACGACAUUCGAAUAGAACUCAACGUUGUGCGCUAUCUUUCAAGGUCAGAUAGGGCAUAGGGGUUGGCAGAAGAAGUAAAGGAAUGAAUUCCCGAUCUCCUAUAGAAUUAGUCUUAGUAGUGAUUCCGUCAAGAUCAAGAUAUCGAGUAGUUUAGUUCACAUAGAUCGAUCAUAGGCCUGCCUCUGUGCCUGUGCCUU
rnacentral:lncRNA from 1 species